rnacentral:lncRNA from 1 species
UUUUAUUCCUUCUGAAUACAGAAUCAUAUGUUUGGGUUUGGGUUACAAGAUAUACUUCAAGUUUUCUUUUGCUACUGGCUUCAUGAAUUAUAUCGAACCCACGAUAAUUGUAGUGCAGGAGUUAUUGUUCUCUCAUCUCAUCGUUGCUGUAGGUAGAUCGGCUGCACGUGUGGGUCUUCAACUUCUCGAGGUUUAUCAGCCUUGAAA